GAGGAGGACAGAGAGAGGAAGGGAGAAACAAGGGGUAAGGAAGGAAGAGAAAAGCAGAGGAAAUGUUUCUAUGUAAUGGAGUUUGCCAUCUUGUUGUAGCCGCUGGCUGUUGCCGUGGCAGUGGCAGACAGAUGGAUCAUGAAUACUGUCUAGACACACUGCAGCCCGACGCCCCACUCCUCACUCCCUGCACUUCCUCUCCUUUCCUUUCUCCUCUCCUCUCUCUUCCUGUCUUUUUUCCUCACCCCUCCUCUCCUCUCCUCUCUCCUCUCCUGUGUUUUUCCUCCUC